GACGAACGCUGGCGGCGGGCUUAACACAUGCAAGUCGAACGGUAAGGCUCUAGCUUGCUGGGGUACACGAGUGGGGAACGGGGGAGGAACACGUAGGUGACGGGCCCUGCACUUUGGGAUAAGCUUGGGAAACGGGGCUUAAUACCAGAUAGCAUCCGGCCUUGGGUACAGUGGUGGAAAGCUUUUGCGGUGUGGGAAGGGCACGCGGCCUAUCAGAUUUUUGGUGGGGGAGUGGUCUACGAGGGCGGCGGCGGGUAGCCGGCCGGAGAGGGUGGACGGCCACAUUGGGACUGAGGCACGGCCCAGACUCCUACGGGAGGCAGAAGUGGGGAAGAUUGCACAAUGGGUGGAAGCCUGAUGAAGCGACGCCGCGUGUGGGAAAACCGCCUUCGGGUUGUAAAAUCCUUUCACCUUCGACGAAGGGUUUCUGACGGUAGAUGGAGAAGAAGCACCGGCUAACUACGUG
rnacentral:rRNA from 1 species